UACGGGGGGAGCAAGCGUUGUUCGGAUUUACUGGGCGUAAGGGGCGCGUAGGCGGCGUGGUAAGUCACUUGUGAAAUCUCCGGGCUUAACUCGGAACGGUCAAGUGAUACUGCUGUGCUAGAGUGCGGAAGGGGCAACUGGAAUUCUUGGUGUAGCGGUGAAAUGCGUAGAUAUCAAGAGGAACACCUGCGGCGAAGGCGGGUUGCUGGGCCGACACUGACGCUGAGGCGCGAAAGCUAGGGGAGCGAACGGG
rnacentral:rRNA from 1 species